CAGAGGAGUGGAGCCAAUGGCAGGGGGAGUUCAGAGGUCAAAUCCGAGCCCUGCGACACUGGCUGAAGAGCAUGGAGAUGAGGCUACCUCCUCUGGACCAUACGCUGCAAAGUGAUGGACAUUCUAGUUCAGACCAAGAUUCCAGCUUGGAUCGUUGGAGGGGAACGAGAUCUGUCUUGACUCUGAGAGAUGAUUUUGCAGAUUCUGAAACGUUCCAUCAAUCCCUGGAAGCACUGUUGACCUGG